AUGGAUAACAAUUAUGACCUUCUUCAUAGUAAUAACCAGAAAAAAAAAUUAUUUUUAUUUGAUUUGGGUUCGUAUUCUUUUUCUUUCAUAUCACAAUCGGUAAUGUAUCUACCUUGUUCACUAAAAGUAUCACUAUUACUGCUAUUACUGUUAUUACUGCUAUUACUGCUAUUACUACUACUACUACUACUACAACUUCGAUUGGUUUUGUUAUGGUUCUUGUUAUGUUUAUCAGUAAGAUGGUCCCUAGAUAUAUUACUACGAAUAGCACCACAAUAACCGCUACAUAAACUAUUAUUAUAACGAUCAUUUUUAGUUUUAUUUUCGUUACUACCAUUUUUUACCAUAACUUCAUGUUUGACAACAUUCUCAGAGUAAUACAAAUAUGAUGAUAUAUUUAUAUUAUUAAAUUGUAAAAGAUAUUUUUCAUAAGCUUUUUGUCUAUUUAUUAAAAAUGUAAUUAUAUUAUUUUCUUUGUUUAUAUGAUCAUUAUUUAAAAAGCAAUUAACGUUGCAAUAUCGAGUAUUCACAUAGGGAAUAUAUUUUUUUUUUUUUUUUUUUUUCUGUUGAUUCAAUUAAUGGAUUUUUUGCUAUAAUAGGGAUAUAAAAUACUUCGGGGAAUUGACUAUCCCUUGGCGAGUUUGAUCUUUUCAUAUGUGAAGACUCUUCUCGAUCGUUAACUUGCUUUUUCUUAUAUUGAUUAGCUUGUUUAUAUUUUUUAUUUUUUUUUUUAUUUAAUUUAUCAUUCUCGCUACAAAUCAAUUCCCCGUUCUGAAAAUUUUGAUUUUUUAAUUGUGCUUUUUUUAUUUUUUUAUGUGCCAAUGCUUUUAAUGAAACACAGCUUACACUUUUAUGACGUUUGUAUUUCUGUGGAACUAAAGAUAAUUGUUGUUCUUCUGUUAAUAUAACACAUUUUUGUAUUUUUUUUUUGUAAACUUUGGACGUCCAUAUGUUUAUUUAAUAUGUUGCUUAACCACAAUUGGUAUUGAAUGAGCGAAUCAUAAAUAACAAUUUUAUUAAUUUUAUCAUGUAGUACAUUAUUUAUAGUUAUAUGUUGUGUUGUAAAAAGUUUCAUAAAAUUUCUGACACAUUCAUAUAUUUUUUCAAUUCUUUGUUUUUCUCUAGUUUCAAAUUUUUCAAAGUAAAGAUUAUUAUCAAUAAUAAUAGUUUUUUUUUUUUAUAUUUUUUACAUCAUUACUCAUGUAUUCGUCAUUUUUUAUUUGUUCAUUUAUAUUUAGUUCAUUAUUACUAAUAUUACUAGUUUUUUUUUUUUUUAUUA
ensembl:lncRNA